rnacentral:rRNA from 1 species
CCUACGGGUGGCAGCAGUGAGGAAUAUUGGUCAAUGGCCGUAAGGCUGAACCAGCCAAGUCGCGUGAAGGAAGAAGGUCCUAUGGAUUGUAAACCUCUUUUGUAGGGGAACAAAGGUACCCACGUGUGGAUAUUUGCAUGUACCUUAUGAAUAAGCAUCGGCUAACUCCGUGCCAGCAGCCGCGGUAAUACGGAGGAUGCGAGCGUUAUCCGGAUUUAUUGGGUUUAAAGGGUGCGUAGGCGGUUUAUCAAGUCAGCGGUAAAAGCUUGGAGCUAAACUUAAUACAGCCGUUUAAACUGAUGAUCUUGAGUGUGUGAGAGGUAGGCGGAAUGCGUGGUGUAGCGGUGAAAUGCAUAGAUAUCACGCAGAACUCCGAUUGCGAAGGCAGCAUACUGGGGCAUGACUGACGCUGAAGCACGAAAGCGUGGGGAUCGAACAGGAUUAGAUACCCUUGUAGUC